ensembl:misc_RNA
UUGCAGGCGUGGAGACUGAAGUCCUCUCUCUGUCCACAGAACAGGUACAGCCCAGGCAGCCAGCGGUACUGCGGCUCGCCACCCACCACCGUGCUUCAGUGCUGGCAAAGGGGCACCGUGUGGAGGGGAAGAGGGCUGCUCAGUCUCCAUGCCCUUCAAUCUCGGGCUGCU